rnacentral:rRNA from 1 species
UACAGAGGGUGCUAGCGUUAAUCGGAAUUACUGGGCGUAAAGCGCACGUAGGUGGCGACGUAAGUCGGGUGUGAAAGCCCCGGGCUCAACCUGGGAAUUGCAUUCGAGACUGCAUUGCUCGAGUACGGAAGAGGAAGGCGGAAUUCCCGGUGUAGCGGUGAAAUGCGUAGAUAUCGGGAGGAACAUCAGUGGCGAAGGCGGCCUUCGGGUCCAGUACUGACCCUCAAGUGCGAAAGCGUGGGGAGCAAACAGG